rnacentral:lncRNA from 1 species
UCUAAUUCUACCCCUUUCUUUGUGUGUUUAUUAAUGCUUUCCUGCACUAUUUAAUUACCUCCAAGCAUGCUCAGUCUCUUAUGUUAUGUUAAUCCCUUUCCCUCUACUCCCUUUGUAUGUGGGUAUUGUCAUGGGUCAUAGCAACACUAUGAAUUGCUGUCUGUGAUCAAGAACUAGACUCUUCUAGGUCUUUACUCGAUUGCUUUCCCAUUCUCUUUCCCCUCAAUGUGCUGAGCUCUAAUUUGAGUCUGUUGGUGUCCUGAUCACCAUUCAAACAUGAGUUUGACUCAAUAAGAGUAUGCACUUAUUUGUUAGAAUCUGAGCAAGAGAUUAGGGGUGUGGCAGUCUAUGCCAUGGCUGGGUAUGACCACCUCCUCCUAUAGGAUUUAAUACUUUGAAUCGCCUAGAUUUCAUUCCUAUAGGAAUUUUACUACUUUGAAUCAUUUAGAUAUCAUGUCUAUAGGCUUUUAACGUUUGAAUCACCUAGAGAUCAUAUCCAUAGGCUUGCAUUUUUCUUCAUUCAAGCAUAUAUAGAAAUCAUGACUAUAGAAUCGCAAUAACAAUAGAAAAACAAUAGGGUAACACAACUAUAUCCUGCUUGAAACGUUUUAAAAUACCAUAAAAAAUCGGAAUAGAUCCUUCCUAUAUGAUCUCAAAACUCGCUUAAUUUGUAUAAUCGGUUAUAUGGAAAUUAUUUCAAUGUUUCCACAUAAUUCAUCCAAACCUGUCUGCAUUUCUAAGAACUUGUUUUUCUGUUGCUAAAAUGAUUUUCCAACUCUCUGUCUGAACUUUUAUUCACGAGAUUACUUUCAAACAACUUUCAAACUCUCACUUUUUUAUAAACACAUUACUUUUGAAAAAUUUCUUUAAACAGUUCCAGCGAUUUUCCAAACCCUUUUUGAACUUCUGCAGAUUUUUGCUGCUUUGAAUACUUGUCUGUGUUAGUACUUGAUUAAUAAUCCGGUAAAAUACUCCAGAUCCUAACAAUUAGAUCCAAGUUUCCCAAUGUAUACAUUUUAUCUAAUUCCAUAUGUUAAACUGAUCCGUCCACCGAUUAAUUAUAAUUUAAGACCAAACCAGUAUAUGUAAGACAUGCUAAACUAUAUGUUUUCUAUUUAAAGGGGUUUCUUUGAACCUUGGUUUGUCUUCUUGUUCUUUCCCCUACUUGGUAUCUGUUUUGACUGACGAAUUAGAAUUUUGUCCUUUGAACUCCAUGCAAAGCGCACAUCCCUUUCUUCCCCUUUUAGGAUUAAAAGUCCUAAUACUCCAGGACGGAUAAGUUGGGGUGGCUACUAGCAUGCAAUAACUAAAAUGAGACUAAUCGCAUUUAAAUACCUUAACGGAGUGGGAAGGGUAGAAUAUGGAUAUGAUGACUGGUGCGCUAAUAUCUCGUGUGAGGACGAUUGCUUGGUAUUGCACCAAAGUGAUCCAUAUUAUGUUUAACCCUAGGACUCCUUUCUUCUUCUUUAUUAAUGCUUUAUCUUAGAUUAAUGUUUUAACCAAAAUUCCUCU